UUGAAUUCAUGAAACUCUUUUGCAAAAUAACUAUUUCUGUAGAGUUGUUAAAUUAAAUUCUUCAAAGUCAUUAUCCUUGACCUCUUCAUAAUGUUAAUGUUAACACACUCUUUAGAGUAAGAAUGUUUGGGAUAUUAUCAACUAAAUAAAAAUGAUCAAAUCAUUAUGCUUCUCCCGCCCGUCAUCAGUAAAAAAGAAUAUGAUAAAACAA
rnacentral:lncRNA from 1 species